GCCCGGUUAGCUCAGUCGGUAGAGCAUGAGACUCUUAAUCUCAGGGUCGUGGGUUUGAGCCCCACAUUGGGCU
rnacentral:tRNA from 1 species